UGCUGACCAAGUUUGAUGAUCGUAGGUCUGAAGGUAAUCAAAAUAUGCCUUUUAAACAAUAUGAAAACAUAUGCCUGCAAAAUUCAAAAAGUAGGUCACAGUGACCUACUUUUUCAUAAAUAUGUUUUAAGGUCCCAAGAUGCAGCAAUUUACAAGAUUUGAUGAUUCUAACCCUCUCAGUGUCUGCAAUGAUGGGAUUAAAUGUUUUAAAAAGGAUAAGUCAUAAAGUUCAAAAAGUAGGUCAAGGUGACCUACUUUUAAGUUGACGUUGUUCAAGGACCCAAGAUGCAUCAACUAACAAAGUUUGAUGAUCAUAGGCCUUAAAGUGUCCAAAAUAUGCCUUCAAAUCAAUUUGAAAACAAAUGCCCGCAAAAUUAAACAAGAGGCCCAAGGGCCUUGAAUCGCUCUUCUGAUAAAUUGUACAAUCUAUCACUUCUAUUUGAAGCCUCUAACCCUGAGUAUCCUAAGACCCAAGUUGCAUCAACUGACAAAGUUUGAUGAUUCUUAGCCAAUUAGGACUGAAAAUAUUUUUUAUAAUAAAGCUAUAAAAAACCAUAAGUACAUUACAGUGACCUAUAUUAAGAUUGAAGUUUUCUGAAGAUUCAAGAUGCAUUAAUAAACAAAGAUUGAAGAUUCUAAGCCAAUAAGUAUUUGAGAUUUUUAAAAGUAGGUCACCAUGACCUACUUUUUGGUCGACAAUCUCUAAAAACCAAAGAUGCAUCAACAAACAAAGUUAAACCAGUUAGUACCGUAGAUACUUAAAGAAAGCCUGAAAUGUCCAAAAAUUAGGUCACCGUGACCUACUUUUUGGACAUCAUUCUCCCAAAACCCAAAGAUGCCUCAACUUACAAAGUUUGAUGAUUCUAAGCCAAUAAGUACCGUAGAUACUUAAAUAAAGCCAUAAAAUGUUUAAAGUAGGUCACCAUGACCUACUUUUUGGUCGUCACUCUCCGAAAACCUAAGACGCAUCAACUCACAAAGUUUGAUGAUUCUAAGCCAAUAAAUACCUAAGAUACUUAAAUAAAGCCAUAAAAUGUCGAAAGUAGGUCACAGUGACCUACUUUUUGGACAUCAUUCUCGGAAAACCCAAGAUUCAUCAACUUAUAAAGUUUGAUGAUUCUAAGCCAAUAAGUACUGUAGAUACUUAAAUAAAGCCAUAAAAUGUCAAAAAUAGGUCACCUUGACCUACUUUUUGGUCGUCACUCUCCGAAAACCCAAGACGCAUCAACUCACAAAGUUUGAUGAUUCUAAGCCAAUAAAUACCUAAGAUACUUAAAUAAAGCCAUAAAAUGUCGAAAGUAGGUCACAGUGACCUACUUUUUGGACAUCAUUCUCGGAAAACCCAAGAUUCAUCAACUUAUAAAGUUUGAUGAUUCUAAGCCAAUAAGUACCGUAGAUACUUAAAUAAAGCCAUAAAAUGUCAAAAGUACGUCACCAUGACCUACUUUUUGGUCGUCACUCUCCGAAAACCCAAGACGCAUCAACUCACAAAGUUUGAUGAUUCUAAGCCAAUAAAUACCAAAGAUACUAAAAUAUAGCCAUAAAAUGUUGAAACUAGGUCACCGUGACCUUUAUUUUGGUCGACAUUUUUCAAAGUCACAAGAUGCAUCUGCUGACCAAGUUUGAUGAUCCUAGGUUUUGAAGGUAAUCAAAAUAUGCCUUUUAAACAAUUCAUAAACAAAUGCCUGCAAAAUUCAAAAAGUAGGUCACAGUGACCUACUUUUUCAUAAUUAUGUUUUAAGGUCCCAAGAUGCAUCAAUUUACAAGAUUUGAUGAUUCUAAACCUCUCAGUGUCUGAAAUAAUUGGGAUUAAAUUUUUUAAAAAGAAUUAGUCAUAAAAUUCAAAAAGUAGGUCAUGGUGACCUACUUUUAAGCUGACGUUGUUUAAGGACCCAAGAUGCAUCAAUUGACAAAGUUUGAUGAUCAUAGGCCUUAAAGUGCCCGAAAUAUGCCUUCAAAUCAAUUUGAAAACAAAUGCUUACAAAAUUUAAAAAGUAGGUCACCAUGACCUACUUUUUCAUAAAUAUGUUUUAAAAUCCCAAGAUGCAUCAAUUUACAAGAUUUGAUGAUUCUAAACCUCUCAGUGUCUGAAAUAAUUGGAUUAAAUGUUUUAAAAAGAAUUAGUCAUAAAAUUCAAAAAGUAGGUCAAGGUGACCUACUUUUAAGCUGACGUUGUUCAAGGACCCAAGAUGCAUCAACUGACAAAGUUUGAUGAUCAUAGGCCUUAAAGUGCCUGAAAUAUGCCUUGAAAUCAAUUUGAAAACAAAUGCUUACAAAAUUUAAAAAGUAGGUCACCGGGACCUACUUUUGAGUUAACAUGAUGUGAUGUCCUGAGAUGCAUCAACUUACAAGAUUUGAUGAUCCUAGUCAUAAUAGUAAGCAAAAUAUAAACAUUUUUAUUAUUUGUAAAUUUAGGUCAACUUUGAAGUGACCUUGAGACCACGCCCUUUGCCCCAGGGUCAUGCCUUGAACAAUUUUUAAUCUUCAACAUAUCCUGAUCCUUGUAUGUAAG